AGAGUUUGAUCAUGGCUCAGAACGAACGCUGGCGGCGUGCUUAACACAUGCAAGUCGAACGGGAUCCAGAGCUUGCUCUGGUGAGAGUGGCGCACGGGUGAGUAACGCGUGGAUAACCUGCCCUGGUAUCUGGAAUAACAUCUCGAAAGGGGUGCUAAUACCGGAUAAGCCCACGGGGUCUUCGGACUCUGCGGGAAAAGGUGGCCUCUGAAUAUGCUACCGUAUCAGGAUGGGUCCGCGUACCAUUAGCUAGUUGGUAGGGUAAUGGCCUACCAAGGCAACGAUCAGUAGCUGGUCUGAGAGGAUGAUCAGCCACACUGGAACUGAGACACGGUCCAGACUCCUACGGGAGGCAGCAGUGGGGAAUUUUGCGCAAUGGUGGAAACCCUGACGCAGCAACGCCGCGUGAGUGAUGAAGGCUUUCGGGUCGUAAAGCUCUGUCAGUAGGGAAGAAGUGUAAGGGUGCUAAUACCAUCUUUACUUGACGGUACCUACAAAGGAAGCACCGGCUAACUCCGUGCCAGCAGCCGCGGUAAUACGGAGGGUGCAAGCGUUGUUCGGAUUUAUUGGGCGUAAAGCGCGUGUAGGCGGUUUCUUAAGUCUGAUGUGAAAGCCCUGGGCUCAACCCAGGAAGUGCAUUGGAUACUGGGAGACUUGAAUACGGGAGAGGGUAGUGGAAUUCCUAGUGUAGGAGUGAAAUCCGUAGAUAUUAGGAGGAACACCGGUGGCGAAGGCGGCUACCUGGACCGAUAUUGACGCUGAGACGCGAAAGCGUGGGGAGCAAACAGGAUUAGAUACCCUGGUAGUCCACGCCGUAAACGAUGAGAACUAGGUGUUGCGGGUAUUGACCCCUGCAGUGCCGCAGCUAACGCAUUAAGUUCUCCGCCUGGGAAGUACGGUCGCAAGACUAAAACUCAAAUGAAUUGACGG
rnacentral:rRNA from 1 species